UGGGGAAUAUUGCACAAUGGGGGAAACCCUGAUGCAGCGACGCCGCGUGGAGGAAGAAGGUCUUCGGAUUGUAAACUCCUGUUGUUGAGGAAGAUAAUGACGGUACUCAACAAGGAAGUGACGGCUAACUACGUGCCAGCAGCCGCGGUAAAACGUAGGUCACAAGCGUUGUCCGGAAUUACUGGGUGUAAAGGGAGCGCAGGCGGGAGAACAAGUUGGAAGUGAAAUCCAUGGGCUCAACCCAUGAACUGCUUUCAAAACUGUUUUUCUUGAGUAGUGCAGAGGUAGGCGGAAUUCCCGGUGUAGCGGUGGAAUGCGUAGAUAUCGGGAGGAACACCAGUGGCGAAGGCGGCCUACUGGGCACCAACUGACGCUGAGGCUCGAAAGUGUGGGUAGCAAACAGGAUUAGAUACCCUGGUAGUCCACACCGUAAACGAUGAUUACUAGGUGUUGGAGGAUUGACCCCUUCAGUGCCGCAGUUAACACAAUAAGUAAUCCACCUGGGGAGUACGACCGCAAGGUUGAAACUCAAAGGAAUUGACGGGGGCCCGCACAAGCAGUGGAGUAUGUGGUUUAAUUCGACGCAACGCGAAGAACCUUACCAAGUCUUGACAUCCCUUGACGAUGCUGGAAACAGCAUUUCUCUUCGGAGCAAGGAGACAGGUGGUGCAUGGUUGUCGUCAGCUCGUGUCGUGAGAUGUUGGGUUAAGUCCCGCAACGAGCGCAACCCUUAUGGUCAGUUACUACGCAAGAGGACUCUGGCCAGACUGCCGUUGACAAAACGGAGGAAGGUGGGGAUGACGUCAAAUCAUCAUGCCCUUUAUGACUUGGGCUACACACGUACUACAAUGGCGUUAAACAAAGAGAAGCAAGACCGCGAGGUGGAGCAAAACUCAGAAACAACGUCCCAGUUCGGACUGCAGGCUGCAACUCGCCUGCACGAAGUCGGAAUUGCUAGUAAUCGUGGAUCAGCAUGCCACGGUGAAUACGUUCCC
rnacentral:rRNA from 1 species